rnacentral:rRNA from 1 species
AUGGAUAGGCAAGGCAUUUCACCUUCGGUCUACAACAACGACGAGUUCGAUGCCACGAACAACUCCAAUGACGCCAAGAUGCAAGCUCAAAUGGAGGAGAUCAAAGCCCUCAUCAAGUCAUACAAGCGAUCUUCCUCAUCUUCGAGAAGACACUCAAGAGCACAUGCCUCCGAGCUACCAUCUCCGGCAGGACACAUCGGCAUCGACACCAUCACCACCACGAACGUGAAGGUCAAGAGCUCAACUCCAACAACCGCUCAACGACUUCACCAUGUCCCUUGGCAUCUUCGCCAAGCGACAUCAAGGCAUCUUCGCCUACGGACAUAG